CCACGGCUCAGCCGUGGAGGGUCAUUGGAAACUGGGAAACUUGAGUGCAGAAGAGAAAAGCGGAAUUCCACGUGUAGCGGUGAAAUGCGUAGAGAUGUGGAGGAACACCAGUGGCGAAUGCGGCUUUUUGGUCUGUAACUGACGCUGAGGCGCGAAAGCGUGGGGAGCAAACAGGAUUACAUACCCUGGUAGUCCACGCCGUAAACGAUGAGUGCUAAGUGUUAGAGGGUUUCCGCCCUUUAGUGCUGCAGCUAACGCAUUAAGCACUCCGCCUGGGGAGUACGGUCGCAAGACUGAAACUCAAAGGAAUUGACGGGGGCCCGCACAAGCGGUGGAGCAUGUGGUUUAAUUCGAAGCAACGCGAAGAACCUUACCAGGUCUUGACAUCCUCUGACAACUCUAGAGAUAGAGCGUUCCCCUUCGGAGCACAGAGUGACGGGUGGUGCGUGGGUGUCCUCAUCUCGUGUCGUGAGAUGGUGGGAUAACUCCCGCCAAGAGCGCAACCCGUGAUCUUAUGUGCCAGCAUUU
rnacentral:rRNA from 2 species